rnacentral:misc_RNA from 1 species
UUUAUAAGAUUUGCCAAACUAACGAUACGCGCUGAAGCCACAUUUGUAAAAAGUAUUCAAAUACGACGUUAUUUUAUAACCUACCAGCUGGUUGCUGAAGCGAGCAAAACUCUCAUAGAAAGAAGACUAAAAGGAAAACACCCACUCACUGAAGAAAUAAAAUAGUCAAACUCGAAGAUGGUACCCCGCUGGGGGUAGCCAUCCACAUGUUAUUUAGCAAUUAAGCUAGAAAAAUUUAUCAAAU